GGGGAAGCGCUGUCCCUCCGAGAGGACGGAGGCGUGGUUCCCGGGGGCGGGGCAGCGGCGUCCACACCCCCAGCCCGACCGCCCGCGAGGACCGGGCGAGCCCGCGCGCCCACGGGGAAGGCUCGCCCUCUGGUGAUUGACAGCAUCUGGAACUUCCUCCUUUCUGAAAUUUGGAAUGCCAGCGCACCAUUCUCUGAGUAGCCCUCGGAUCUCUCCCUCCUGGGGGACAUUUCCAGCCUGCCAGCCUGCUCUACAUACUCGAACUCAAGACCACAACAUCAACUCUUCCCUGAGUUUCCAGCCUGCUGGCCUGCCCUGUGGAUUUUGGACUUGGCAGCCCCCAUAAUUGCAUGAGCCAAUUCCUUAAAAUAAAUCUCUUUGUAUGUAUUUAUUUUUAAAGAUUUUAUUUUUAUUUAUUUGAGAGAGAGCAAGAGUGAGAGUGAGAGAGAGUGAGCAUGGCGGGGGUGGAGUGGGGAAGGGGAGAGGGAGAAGC